rnacentral:rRNA from 1 species
AAGUCGAGCGAACGGACGAGAAGCUUGCUUCUCUGAUGUUAGCGGCGAACGGGUGAGUAACACGUGGAUAACCUACCUAUAAGACUGGGAUAACUUCGGGAAACCGGAGCUAAUACCGGAUAAUAUUUUGAACCGCAUGGUUCAAAAGUGAAAGACGGUCUUGCUGUCACUUAUAGAUGGAUCCGCGCUGCAUUAGCUAGUUGGUAAGGUAACGGCUUACCAAGGCAACGAUGCAUAGCCGACCUGAGAGGGUGAUCGGCCACACUGGAACUGAGACACGGUCCAGACUCCUACGGGAGGCAGCAGUAGGGAAUCUUCCGCAAUGGGCGAAAGCCUGACGGAGCAACGCCGCGUGAGUGAUGAAGGUCUUCGGAUCGUAAAACUCUGUUAUUAGGGAAGAACAUAUGUGUAAGUAACUGUGCACAUCUUGACGGUACCUAAUCAGAAAGCCACGGCUAACUACGUGCCAGCAGCCGCGGUAAUACGUAGGUGGCAAGCGUUAUCCGGAAUUAUUGGGCGUAAAGCGCGCGUAGGCGGUUUUUUAAGUCUGAUGUGAAAGCCCACGGCUCAACUGUGGAGGGUCAUUGGAAACUGGAAAACUUGAGUGCAGAAGAGGAAAGUGGAAUUCCAUGUGUAGCGGUGA